GUGGGGAAUCUUGCGCAAUGGGCGAAAGCCUGACGCAGCCAUGCCGCGUGAAUGAUGAAGGUCUUAGGAUUGUAAAAUUCUUUCACCGGGGACGAUAAUGACGGUACCCGGAGAAGAAGCCCCGGCUAACUUCGUGCCAGCAGCCGCGGUAAUACGAAGGGGGCUAGCGUUGUUCGGAAUUACUGGUCGUACAGGGCGCGUAGGCGGACAGUUUAGUCAGAGGUGAAAGCCCAGGGCUCAACCUUGGAAUUGCCUUUGAUACUGGCUGUCUUGAGUACGGGUGAGGUGAGUGGAACUCCGAGUGUAGAGGUGAAAUUCGUAGAUAUUCGGAAGAACACCAGUGGCGAAGGCGACUCACUGGCCCAAUACUGACGCUGAGGCGCGAAAGCGUGGGGAGCAAACAGGAUUAGAAACCCCAGUAGUCC
rnacentral:rRNA from 1 species